UGUUUUUGAAAGUUCUGAAAAGGAAAAUGAAUCUACUGUUCAUUUUUGUGUUUGUGUCUUGGUCAGAUAGUGUUCUUUUUUAAGGUACUAGUGAAACAGUUUUUCUUGCACAGGAUAUAUAAUAAAAGCUUCCUAUUUUUCUCCUAAUAGAAUAAACAGAGGCCAAAAGAACCUUAUAAAUAAGAUGUUUUAUUUGGGAAAAAUAAAGCAUUUGGGGGGAAAAAAAAAGUAAAAAUUUGUCCAGUACUUCAACAUUAUCAUCCCCUUUGUCCACAUAUGCAUGUUUUACAUAAGAGUAUUCAGAGUAAACAUACCGUUUUACAUUCUGGAUGUUUUACAUAGCAAUUUUGACAUGAACUUUUAGCCAGUGAUUCCUCUUUUAUUUCUAGUUUAUAAUUGUUUUAGUUAAUCCUGGAAUAUGCGUCAUGAUUUUUCUUCUUUCUGUAAAAGGACUGUUGGGUCAAAAGAAACAAUUGAAACUUAAAGAGGCUAAGUGAUUUACCCAAAGUUGCUUACUACUCAAGCCUUGAUCCUAUGUCAUCUGGCUUAAAAUCCAGGAAUUUUUCUGCUAUAACCUAUUGCCUGUGAAUGAAUAUAAUUGCAAAAUAGAAUUAUAGUUCAUUUUAACAUUUUGUUUUAUAAUUCUUAGUAUUUUAUAAUUUUUAAUUGAGAACUACCUCUAUGAUAUGUUCUAUUAAUUUUGUGAACUGCUGUUUAUAUAUUAUUAAAAUGUGUACACC